CCUACGGGAGGCAGCAGUGAGGAAUAUUGGUCAAUGGCCGGAAGGCUGAACCAGCCAUGCCGCGUGAAGGUCAGUGCCCUAUGGGCGUUAAACUUCUUUUGUGCGGGAGCAAUAAUGGUCACGUGUGGCCAGACGAGAGUACCGUACGAAUAAGCAUCGGCUAACUCCGUGCCAGCAGCCGCGGUAAUACGGGGGAUGCAAGCGUUAUCCGGAUUUAUUGGGUUUAAAGGGUGCGUAGGCUGUGAGGUAAGUCAGCGGUGAAAUGCUCCCGCUCAACGGGGUGAAGUGCCAUUGAUACUGCCUGGCUUGAGUGCGGAUGCCGUGGGAGGAAUGUGUGGUGUAGCGGUGAAAUGCAUAGAUAUCACACAGAACACCGAUUGCGAAGGCAUCUCACGAAUCCGCGAUUGACGCUGAUGCACGAAAGCGUGGGUAUCAAACAGGAUUAGAUACCCGGGUAGUC
rnacentral:rRNA from 1 species